AGCACGUAGGUGGGUUUGUAAGUCAGACGUGAAAGCCUUCUGUUCAACGGAAGAAUUGCAUCUGAAACUACAAACCUUGAGUGUAGGAGGGGAGAAUGGAACUUCUGGUGGAGCGGUGAAAUGCGUAGAUAUCAGAAGGAGCGCCGGCGGCGAAAGCGAUUCUCUGGCCUAUUACUGACACUCAGUGUGCGAAAGCUAGGGGAGCAAACGGGAUUAGAUACCCCGGUAGUCCUAGCCGUAAACGAUGGGCACUAAGUAGAGGGAAUCACCGAUGUUCUCUCUGCCGUAGCUAACGCAUUAAGUGCCCCGCCUGGGGAGUACGGCCGCAAGGCUAAAACUCAAAAGAAUUGACGGGGGCUCGCACAAGCGGUGGAGCAUGUGGCUUAAUUCGAUGCAACGCGAAAAACCUUACCGGGGCUUGACAUGGUAGAAGUAGGAACCCGAAAGGGUAACGAACGGUAUCCAGUCCGUGACUAUCACAGGUGUUGCAUGGCUGUCGUCAGCUCGUGUCGUGAGACGUUGGGUUAAGUCCCCUAACGAGCGAAACCCUUGUUUUUAGUUGCCAGCGGGUUGUGCCGGGCACUCUAGAAAGACUGCCGUCGUCAAGACGGAGGAAGGUGGGGAUGACGUCAAGUCAUCAUGGCCCUUAUGCCCCGGGCUGCACACGUGCUACAAUGGCCGGUACAAACGGAAGCGAAGCCGAGAGGUGAAGCGAAUCC
rnacentral:rRNA from 1 species